rnacentral:rRNA from 1 species
UACGUAGGGUGCAAGCGUUAAUCGGAAUUACUGGGCGUAAAGCGUGCGCAGGCGGUUUUGUAAGUCUGUCGUGAAAUCCCCGGGCUCAACCUGGGAAUGGCGAUGGAGACUGCAAGGCUAGAGUUUGGCAGAGGGGGGUAGAAUUCCACGUGUAGCAGUGAAAUGCGUAGAGAUGUGGAGGAACACCGAUAGCGAAGGCAGCCCCCUGGGUCAAAACUGACGCUCAUGCACGAAAGCGUGGGGAGCAAACAGG